CUGAGUGGGCUGAUGAAUGGAUGAGGGGACGGAGCCAGGCCUGACAUCCAGGAAUCAGAUCCACGUAUUCUGUGUUGGAUGUCUUCCAGGAUACUAGGAAGAUGAACUUCUACAUAAAGUCUCCUAAUAGUUAAACGUUGACACCUAAUUGAGAAAAAUUAAAGCCACGAUAUGUGGCGGAUGAAACAUGUGCUGGAUUCAGUCUCUGAGCAGCCAGUUUGACGCAUCGGCUCCAACGCAGGAAGGAAUCAGAGGUGCCAGGACUGCGCAGGAUACUACUGGCCAGUGGAUUUGCACAGCAGAACGGUGAACUCAGCUGAAGUCUCCUUUAAGUCUAGGACUCUGAAAUGGCUGCUGAAGGUUCGGAACUCCUUGCUCUGUCUAGUUCAUCUUUGGAGAAACUUCCUGACUUCUUUAUAAGGCACCUCAUAGCUGGUGACCUUCUUUCAUCCCUACUCCUUGGACAGUAAGAUAGGAAAAGUACUGGCUCAGGAUUCUCUUGGGAGCCCCUGCGGACGGUGCUGG